CCAGACUCCUACGGGAGGCAGCAGUGGGGGAUAUUGCACAAUGGGGGAAACCCUGAUGCAGCGACGCCGCGUGAGUGAUGAAGUAUUUCGGUAUGUAAAGCUCUAUCAGCAGGGAAGAUAAUGACGGUACCUGACUAAGAAGCUCCGGCUAAAUACGUGCCAGCAGCCGCGGUAAUACGUAUGGAGCAAGCGUUAUCCGGAUUUACUGGGUGUAAAGGGAGCGUAGACGGCAUGGCAAGUCUGAAGUGAAAGCCCGGGGCUCAACCGCGGGACUGCUUUGGAAACUGUUAAGCUGGAGUGCAGGAGAGGUAAGUGGAAUUCCUAGUGUAGCGGUGAAAUGCGUAGAUAUUAGGAGGAACACCAGUGGCGAAGGCGGCUUACUGGACUGUAACUGACGUUGAGGCUCGAAAGCGUGGGGAGCAAACAGGAUUAGAUACCCGGGUA
rnacentral:rRNA from 1 species